UACGUAGGGUGCAAGCGUUAAUCGGAUUUACUGGGCGUAAAGAGCGCGCAGGCGGUCGUUCAAGUCGCGUGUGAAAGCCCCCGGCUCAACUGGGGAGGGUCACGCGAUACUGAUCGACUCGAAGGCAGGAGAGGGUAGUGGAAUUCCCGGUGUAGUGGUGAAAUGCGUAGAUAUCGGGAGGAACACCAGUGGCGAAGGCGACUACCUGGCCUGUUCUUGACGCUGAGGCGCGAAAGCUAGGGGAGCAAACGGG
rnacentral:rRNA from 1 species